GGGCGCUGAUGUGCCUCUGCACGCGACUAGGGCGCAGCGACACUCUCCUUGUGCGCUCGCUCCCGCAUCCGGCUCGCUCUUCUGCCAUCUCUUCCUCCUCCUUCUCGUUCUCCCUUCGCCUCCGCUCCGUCUCCGCCCGAAGGCCGCAGUGAGACCUCCCCCCGCGCCAGAUUCACUCUCGGGACUACCCUGAGACCUUGCUCCGAUGAGCUCGAGACCUGCGGCCUCGGAUCCGGGGGGAGACAGCGGGCGAGGCGGGCUGAAGCAGGACUUGCGGCCUGAGGCUGUGGAUGCUGCCAGGGCGAGCUCGGGACCCGCGGGGGAUUCUGAUGUGGCGAUGGCGGAAGCCUCGGAGGAGGUUGUCGCUGGGGUGAAGGUGGAGGGUGCUGCGGUGGCGAGGCGUGUUGGCGCGCUGACCGCGGGCGUUGUUCUAGAUGCGGCAGCAGCGACUGAUCCACUCUAUGCGACAGAGUCGGCUGGCAUGGUUAUUUCGGAAGGAUGUGGAGAUGAAUCCAUUGGCGAGGCGCAAGGGCGUGAUGGAGAAACAGAAGCUAGAGCUUCGACGGGCGAGCCUGAGCGGAAGCCGGUUGCAUCUGGAGAUGUUGCUGUUACUGGUGAAGUGGUGGUACCGCCUGGUUCUGCCGCUACUGAACAUGCUGGAGCCGCAUCCAGCGAACUUGAAGAAAACCAUGUCAAUGCAAGCCAUACAGUCGGUAAUACUGGAAAUGAUAAUGGUGAAGCACAUUUUGAUGAAGAAACACAGAAUGGUCCAGCAAAUUCUGCUCAGUGUGCUAGAUACUGCCUUCCUCUUCCUGUUAAAGAUGGUUUUCAAGUUUCUGAUCUUGUCUGGGGUAAAGUGAAAAGUCAUCCUUGGUGGCCUGGUGAGAUUUUUGAUCAUUCAGAUGCAUCUGAAUUGGCACUGAAGCACCAGAAAAAGGGUAAUCGUCUGGUUGCGUAUUUUGGUGACAGCAGUUUUGCAUGGUGUGAUGAAUCCCAGUUGAAGCCUUUUGUAACAAACUAUUCACAAAUGGAAAAACAGAGUAGUUCUGAUGCCUUUGUCAGUUCAGUUAAUUAUGCGCUAGAAGAACUCUCAAGACGGAUUUUGUCAGGGAUGAGCUGUGCUUGUUUGCCAGAAGAGCUAUCUGACAAUGGAAUGUCAUAUAUGGUUGAGAAUGCUGGGCUCAAGGAUGGAGUUACUUGCUCAGCAGUUAACCGGUCUGAGAUCUUAGCAUGUUUUAGUCCAGCAAGCCUUCUUCAUUAUGUUAGGUCGUUAGCUCUGUUCCCUGGCCAAGGGGGUGAUCUGCUAGAGCUAGUGAUAGCUUGUUCUCAACUUACAUCUUUCUAUCGAUCUAAGGGAUGCCCUGAACUGGCAUCAUUCCAAACUGGCAGUGCAUGGGCCGAGAAUGACAUGGACACUUCUCCCACAAAGAAUGUAAUCGUUGAGGAAGUUGUCGCUAGUGAAGUGCUUCCUAGCAAUGACAAGCCCAAAAGAGGCAGGGGGAGACCUCGUAAGCAGAAGCCUGAGGAUAACCGAGAGUUGACGGGAAAAAAGCCUGCCUCCAGUCUGUCCAAUAAUACCGCUUAUGGUGCUCCCAUGGAAAGACGGGUGGUUAGGGAUGAUUUUGAUGACUUAUCAAAUAAGAAGAAAAGAAGUCUUGACUUGUUUGAUGAUGCAGAGACCAAGUCAUCAACUCCAGCUUUUGGUGGUUCUUUCAAGAUUGGGGAGUGCAUUCGGCGAGCUGCAAGCCAGCUGACAGGAUCUUCAUCAAUUGUGAAGUCUCAGAAUGAACUAACAGUUUAUAAGAACCCCGCAGAAGCAGAUAAUGCAGAAUUUGAUGUCUCCAGUGAUGACGACGAUAAUGAAAUUACCGUGGAGAAGCGCGCAAAGAGGAGACGCAUGCACAAGCAUCACACUGCGGAUCCAAUGGAGUUAUUCUCGCAGCUCUGUUCCGUUGCCACAGAGCCAAUGGACAGAUAUAAUUUUUCAGCAAUGAUCAUCAGUUACUUCAGUGAUUACAGGAACUAUGUUGUUUCCACUACUACGGAAGCAAACAUUAUCGAAAAAAGUACAGCAAAGAGGGGGAGAAAGAGGAGGGUUUUACCUUCUCCUGAGCUAGAGACUACUGAUCAUAUGCAGGACUCCUACUGGUCUGGUUUGAGUUUGCAUAACCAUCCGAUUCAUAGCCUUAAAGGAACUGGUACCAACACGAGGCCAAGGCGUAGGCGCAGAUCAUCACAAGAAACAGAUGGGCCCACUGUAGAGCAUCUGGAAGCAUUGACUCCUAAGAAACAGAUACAAGUGAUAGAAAGAUCAAUUAUCCAUGUCGAUGAAAAGAUGGUUGACGAGUGGAAGCCCACUGCACUUGUUUUAAGCUUUGGCAAGUCGAUUGAUCUUCCAUCAGAAACUGAUCUGAUCAAGAAAUUCGGUCGCUAUGGUCCGCUCAAAGAAUCUGAAACUGAAGUGCACAAAAGCACAAAUACUGUUAAAAUUGUCUUCAAGAAGCGUGCUGAUGCUGAAAGGGCGUUUACUGUUGCUGGGAAGUAUGGUACUUUUGGUCCUUCGCUUCGUAGCUAUCGUCUUGUGAAUAUGCCGUUUUCUCUAGGCUCAUCAGAAGCCAAUAAUAGUGAGGCUUGCGUUCGGGAUGAAGUGCCACUUAAAGAUCAAUCAGAGAUUGUACUGUCUGGAGCUGCAACUGGAGCUGUUCAGGUAGUUGGUGCGACUGAGCAGGCCAAGAAAGAACUUCCAAAUGAGGGUACAAAGUAUGUAACUGAGGCUAAUACUGAGAAUAAAGUUCCAGAAGAGACCGUUGUACCUAUGGAGUCGCAAGCUCAAAGUUGUACUGAAAAAACAGUGGGACAAGAUGCAACUGAGCAGACCAUGGAAUUUCAAGCUCCAAACGAAGCAUCAGCUGAAAUUCCUUCUGAUGUGAAGUUGGAAGUUAAUGCUUUUACUGAAAAAUUAGUAGGUCAAGUUGCAACUGAGCAAGCCAAACUUCCGGUUAAGGAAUCAGCUGCAGUUCUGUCUGAUCCUGCAUGUGCUGACACUCCAGAAGUUCAAGGAUCUGAGGUGCGACCAGAAGCUGUGCAUUUUCAAGCUGCAUGCAAAACAUUGGUAGAACAAGUGAGCACAAAAGCUGACACGGCUGAAGUACUAACCAAAGCAUCAGUGCAAGAAUCUGGGCCAAAUAAGGAAAUUGUGGAAUCCAACACUGCCGUUGAAGUGGCACACAAACAAGUCUGCUGUGUUGAGAAAACUGUUCAAGCAGGGGAUGGAACUGACGCAGCAAUUGAACCGAUUGAUGUGGGGAAACAAACUGCUGAAGAUAUAGCUAUGGCUGAAGUAAUGGUUAAGGGAGCUGUGGAGUCAAAAGGUGAAGCACCAGCUGAGGAAACUGUGGACGACAAAACUGCUACUGAAACUCAAGCUGGCGAGACCACCAAAGCUGAAACUACAACAGCUGAAAAAACUGCAGAUGAUGCCACUGUUGCAGUACCAGAUGAGAGAAAUACAGAAGCCAAGAACAUAAUAGAUAAUGCCACGGUUGAAGCAGCGGAUGAGACUGCUAAAUUUGCCAAGAAGACUGAAGAGGAUGGCAUAGUUGAAGCACUGGAUGAGAAAGCUACAGCAGUCGAAAGAACUGUAGACCCGGUUGAAGCACUGGAUGAGAAAGCUACAGCAAUCGAGGAUGACACGGUUGCAGCAGUAGAUGAGAAAGUUACAACAUCCGAGAAACCUUUAAAGGAUGCCAUGGUUGAAGCACCAUGUGAGAAAGCUACAGCAGAUGAAAACCCCGCAGAGGAUGCCACAGUUGAUGCACCAGAUCAGACAGCUACAACAGCCAAUAAUAUCGUAGAGGAUGCGAUGGUUGAUGCACGAGACGACAAAGCUACAGCAACCGAGAGAACCGUAGAGGAUGACACGGUUGCACCACUAGAUAAGAAAGUUACAACAACCGAGAAAUCCAUAAAGGAUGAGGCCCCAAGUGAGAAAGCUACGACGGAUGCCACAGUUGAUGCACCAGGUCAGACAGCUACAACAACAGUCAAUAAAAUAGUAGAGGAUGCCACGGCUGAAGCGCCGAAAGCUACUACAGCCGGGAAAACUGUAGUGGAUGCCACAGUUGAAGGGCCAGAUGACAAAGCUAUAGCAGCUGAUGAGGAGGCCAUGGCUGAGGCAGCUGAUGGACAAGACUGAACAAACCGGCUAGCUUUGUUCAAUUCUUGUUUCUAUUGAUAUUGAGAUCAUAUUCCGGGUGGAACUUUGUGGAAGACGAGAGUAAAUCUGAGAACAUUGUUUCUCAUCAUUGGAAAUCCUGGGGCUAGAUUUCCGUCUGAAGCUUUCUGGUUGGAGUUUACUGGUCACGAGGCUGGAUGAUGGCUGAGAAUGGAAGAAUGGAAAGGGCAGCCAGUUGGUAAAGUUAUCACUAGAUAGGAACUCACAUUUCUGCAGUCGGCAAAAUACACAGAUUUACCGCAACUGAUUGUGGCAUUCCACUAGUGAGAAGGAAUCAGAUUGACAAGAUAGCCAUGACAGAAGACUAUGCCUAUCAAACAUAUUUAAGAAAAAUCACCUGAGGUUGCAUAUAACCCAUUCCUUGGUUGUAAGCUACUUGUUGGCCCAU